CGAGCUCGGUUGCUGCAGUCUGCGGCGCAUGGCCGCCAGGGCUUGGGCGGGGGCGGGCGCAGGUUCGGAAAGCAACCAACAUGGGAACGGGAAAGCAGGCUUGCCUUAAUUUGGACGAACCCUAAGACUUAAGAAGUCUGUACAGUUUUAAAGACGAAGCACCAUGAGAUGCAGAAAUUUCUGGUCCGGAUAGCUCAGCUGAUUAUUUUCAUGUUGCCACAAUUUGUCAAAUGUGGACAUGAUAACUGAAGUUCAACCAUCUUAUGACAAUAAAGUGAACCUAAACCAUUGCUAAGGAUGAAGGAAGAUAGAGUCUAGGUCCCUGAUGACAUUGUGGAGCUGCCACACAAGUCCAGGAUUGCCUACCUCUGGACUUCUCAUUAUGGGAGAAAAUAAAACAAUUUGUUUAAGUCACA